UACGUAGGGCGCAAGCGUUAUCCGGAAUUAUUGGGCGUAAAGAGCUCGUAGGCGGUUUGUCGCGUCUGCCGUGAAAGUCCGGGGCUCAACUCCGGAUCUGCGGUGGGUACGGGCAGACUAGAGUGAUGUAGGGGAGACUGGAGUUCCUGGUGUAGCGGUGAAAUGCGCAGAUAUCAGGAGGAACACCGGUGGCGAAGGCGGGUCUCUGGGCAGUAACUGACGCUGAGGAGCGAAAGCGUGGGGAGCGAACAGG
rnacentral:rRNA from 1 species